GCCAUGCUGUGGUGGCGUAGGGGAUAGUGCAACCCAUGUUUGGAGGCCUUAAGUCCUUGACGCAGCCGUCACGGGUUCGAUUCCCGGACCCGGCAAUAUUUGCCGCAUGUCUUCCCCACCUUCCUUCCCCGUUUCCUGUCAGUC